UACGUAGGGGGCAAGCGUUGUCCGGAUUUAUUGGGCGUAAAGAGCGUGUAGGCGGCCAGGUAGGUCUGCUGUGAAAACUCGAGGCUUAACCUCGAGCUGUCGGCGGAAACCAUCUGGCUAGAGUCCGGAAGAGGAGAAUGGAAUUCCCGGUGUAGCGGUGAAAUGCGCAGAUAUCAGGAAGAACACCAAUGGCGAAAGCAGCUUUCUGGGACGGUACUGACGCUGAGACGCGAAAGCGUGGGGAGCGAACAGG
rnacentral:rRNA from 1 species